rnacentral:rRNA from 1 species
AACGUAGGAGACAAACGUUAUCCGGAGUUACUGGGCGUAAAGCGCGUUCAGGCGGUCUGGCAAGUCGGGCAUGAAAUCUCUCGGCUCAACCGGGAGAGGUUGUCCGAUACUGCUGGACUUGAGGGCAGUAGAGGGUGGUGGAAUUCCGGGUGUAGUGGUGAAAUGCGUAGAUAUCUGGAGGAAUACCGGUGGCGAAGGCGGCAUCCUGGACCGAGAUUGACGCUGAUGAGCGAAAGCUAGGGGAGCAAACGGG